GACGUAGGAGGCGAGCGUUAUCCGGAUUCACUGGGCGUAAAGCGCAUGUAGGCGGCUGGACAAGUCGUGUGUUAAAGCCCCUGGCUCAACUGGGGGAGGUCAUGCGAGACUGUACGGCUCGAGGGCAGCAGAGGCACGUGGAACUCCCGGUGUAGCGGUGGAAUGCGUAGAGAUCGGGAAGAACACCCGUGGCGAAGGCGACGUGCUGGGAUGCCCCUGACGCUGAAAUGCGAAAGUGUGGGGAGCAAACGGG
rnacentral:rRNA from 1 species